UGGGGAAUUUUGGACAAUGGGCGCAAGCCUGAUCCAGCCAUGCCGCGUGAGUGAAGAAGGCCUUCGGGUUGUAAAGCUCUUUCAGCCGGAAAGAAAACGCACGGGUUAAUAACCUGUGUGGAUGACGGUACCGGAAGAAGAAGCACCGGCUAACUACGUGCCAGCAGCCGCGGUAAUACGUAGGGUGCGAGCGUUAAUCGGAAUUACUGGGCGUAAAGCGUGCGCAGGCGGUUUUGUAAGACAGAUGUGAAAUCCCCGGGCUUAACCUGGGAACUGCAUUUGUGACUGCAAGGCUAGAGUACGGCAGAGGGGGGUAGAAUUCCACGUGUAGCAGUGAAAUGCGUAGAUAUGUGGAGGAAUACCGAUGGCGAAGGCAGCCCCCUGGGUCGAUACUGACGCUCAUGCACGAAAGCGUGGGGAGCAAACAGG
rnacentral:rRNA from 1 species